CCAACUAAAAAUAUAUAGAAAAAAGAGAGCCUGGAGUGGACCCUGGGAAAGCCAUAGUAUAUCUGGUGUUAGAAGAGCUUGUAGUCUCCAGAGAGGUCGACCAAGAAGAGGGGAGGCUUUGUCACACAGACUCCGGAGCCAUGAACAUAUUUGAUCGGAAGAUCAACUUUGAUGUACUCUUAAAAUUUUCCCAUAUAACCCCCUCCACACAGCAGCACCUGAAGAAAGUCUAUGCGAGUUUUGCCCUAUGUAUGUUUGUGGCGGCCUCGGGAGCCUAUGUCCAUGUGUUCACUCAUUUCAUUCAGGCUGGCCUGCUCUCUGCCUUGGGCUCCUUGGGGUUGAUGGUUUGGCUGAUGGCAACACCUCACAGCCAUGAAACUGAGCAGAAAGACUAGGACUUCUUGCUGGAUUUGCUGUCCUUACAGGAGUUGGCCUGGGCCCUGCCCUGGAGCUGUGCAUUGCCAUCGACCCCAGCACCCUUCCUACUGCCUUCAUGGGCACGGCGAUGAUCUUCACCUGCUUCGCCCUGAGUGCACUCUAGGCCAGGCGCCAUGGCUACCUCUUUCUGGGAGGUAUCUUGAUGUCAGCCAUGCACCUAACGCUUGUUCUUCCCUGGGAAACCUUUUCUUUGGAUCCAUUUGGCUUUUCCAGGCAAACCUGUAUGUGGGGCUGAUGAUCAUGUGUGGCUUUGUCCUUUUUGAUACUCAACUCAUUAUUGAAAAGGCUGAAAAUGGAGAUAAGGAUUAUUUCUGGCACUGCAUUGAUCUCUUCUUAGAUUUUGUUACUCUCUUCAGAAAACUCAUAAUGAUCCUGGCUAUGAACAAGAAGGAUAAGAAAUGAAAUGACCACCCAGCCUUUCCCAGUUGACUUCCUCUCCUUCCACCCCUCAUUUCUUCUUUGCACACAUUACAGGUGGCAUGUUCUGUGAUAAUGAAAUGCAUCA